rfam:Hordeum vulgare subsp. vulgare, WGS project CAJW01000000 data, contig: morex_contig_63763
GAAUUACUCCUUCCGUCCGAAAAUACUUGUUCUAAAAAUAGAUAUAUCUAAACUUAUUUUAGUUAUAGAUACAUCCAUUUUAUAUAUUUCUAGAACAAGUAUUUCUGGACGGAGGAAGUAUUAC